GAAGCCUGUGAAGAACCAGAGAAAGAGCAGAAAGAAGAAGGGUAGUAGAGACGUGUGUGAGAGGAGAGAGGAUACUGCAGUCUGCACUUCCCUGGAGAGAUCCACAGGCUCGUGGUGGAUUUUUGGUAUGAAUAUCAGAGGGUCCUACAUUCCUUGGAGGAUUUCUUAGAUUGUUAUGUGUUUCAUCUCUCAUUUCUCCGUUUCUCUUUGUGCAUAUUCUGAUUUUGCCUCUAAUCCAUUGUGUCACAUUGGUGGGCUCUAUGGUAUUCUCUGUUUCUCUUUUUAAAAUCAAUUUGGAUUCACUCACCCAUGUUUGAGCCUGCUGAUUUUAACAUGAAACGUGGCUUAACAUUGUACCUGGUUCAUCUUAUUUUCUCCGUUUGUGUUUGGUUCACCUGGAGAAAUCUGGGUUGGAAUUUCUGGUCCAAAUCAACCUCCUAACUAUCAGGGCAUGCUCUACUUCAACACUUGGCUAUAAUGACUUGUGAGUAAGAUGCAUUGAGGCCCGUUCUCCCCGUCGUUAUGCUAUUUUCCAUCAUAGAGCAGGCCUGUGCAAGUCAGGUGGAUUAGGAACAGAGCAGGUUUCACCUGCUAGUGCUUCUACUGAUGAUAUAGGGGCCUCUUCUGGAAGUUCUGGUUCCUUGAUUGAGGAAAGCAAGGGUGGAUCAGGUUCUUCUUUGGGCAGUUGGGGCUUAUCCUACAAGAGAAAGGCUCUUGAAGGUACUUCUGGAUAGUCUUAUCCUGGUGGAAGUUCAAGCUGCUCUCCACAAGCUGAACCUAGUGCUUGGCUUGCUGUUCUUGCUCAUUCUAAUGCUUCUAACGGCUCAAGCAUGUCCACACCCUCAGGGAAUUCUCUCAGUGUGAAUUCUCCAGGAAUGCCAAACCAACAAUCUGGGUUUAGCAUGAGAGGAGUAGCUCCUUCUGAUGUUUUUCUUUCUUUAAGUGUUACGCAGAAUGCAGAAAACUCCCAGAGAAACUUUGGCAGAAGUAGAACGGUGCUUGGAGACUCUUGGAGCACUUAAUAGCAAAGGAGGACUGACACCUCUAAGGAAUGCUAUGGCACAUUAUCCCUUUGAAAGAAACCAAGGCUUGCCUUAUCUAUCCUACUAUCAAUGGAAACCCAUAACAGAAAGAAAAGGUUGCAAACAAGUAAUUGUUUCUAUGAUAAAUCUGAUGUUGAAAAGAAUCGCGUAUCUACUUUCUAUGCAGUGACUACAGAAAAGCUCGAUGUUACUACUGUUUUGGGGCUGCAUCUCCUGUCCCAACUAGGGUCGCUGAUGUAUUCUGAGAGUAGUUCUUUGCUGAGAAUCCUGGUUCAUCAGUAGAGAAAGUUCAGUUAGAAAGAAAGGAUGCUGAAAGUAGGGAGAUCAAAGGGAAGGGGCUCUAUAGAAAAUUACUGUCGUGCUAUGAACCCAUGCAGUCACGUGAAUUUGGUGUGUUGCCGAUUUGCGCCCAUCUCGGUGCAUUUGAUUUGGAGAAGUGUAUCAAUUGACUUGUCAGUCAGAGAAUGAGCCAGUCAAUAAAGGGAAGAGGAAGUUGCCCAGUAUAUUCAGAGGUCAUGGCAUGCACUGUGGAAACCAAACCGGUUGAUGAAUAUUGUUACAGAGAUCAGUGGGUGGAUGGAUUGGGAUUUUGAUGCAGUCCAUGUGGUUCGAGGUGAGGAAGCACAGAAUAAAGAGCUAUGACCCCAUUUGGAUUCUAAUACUUCACCUGAUGCCCUCUGUCCUAAGCUGAAGGAGAUGGUUCAUCCAUGGAGGAAUCUAUGUAUCACACUCAAUGAGACAUUUAAUAAUUAUUUUGAUAAACUGAGGUCUCAAUAAAAGGUUCAUUUGCUUGACGAUUACGAGGAGUAGUGGGGAAGUACAAGUAAUUAGUACAAUGAAACGAGGCCUUAAAUCGGGGCAGCCCUGUUGAGUUUGAUGGAUACAUGAGAGUGGCAGAGGAUAGGCUGGAAACUUGUGUACGUGGAUCAUGAGAAUGACGUACUGCUAGUGGGGAUGAUCCUUGGGAGGAGUUUCUGAACUGUGUACGCUGCAUCAAGAUCCUUUCUCCUCAAGAAGUCCAGCAGAUGAGCUUGGAUAGAGAUAUUGGUAACAGUGUACUUCAGAAUCAAGCCUGUAGUAGCUCUGAUGGUGGCAAUGC